rnacentral:lncRNA from 1 species
CUGAGACAGCCCAGGGGGCGGGCGUUUGAAAUCUGUGCCUUAGAGUAGACCCUGAAUAUCAUUUUUAUACCUUGGAGAACCAAUUACUUAAUGUCUUUUCCUUCCCCGACCCCCUCCCAGACUCCUUCAUUCCGGUACUGCGUGGACGGAAAGCCCCGGGUAGCCGACACCACGUCCGCAACUAGCGGGAGAGAGCGUGGAAAAGGAUUAUAUCAAACUGUUAAAAAUCCAACGGCUCCUGCUUCCGUCCUGCUCCUGAGCUAGACCCAACCAGCCUAGGGAGUUGGGCUACGGAAAGACUAGUAUUUUCACUUAAUUGGAUAUGAAGAAAGAACAAAUAUGUACGGGGGCAACCACGAUCUUUAUAAAGGUACCAUUCCUCAAAAACCUUAGACUUCAAAGCAAAGGUUGUAGUCGUAUUGUUGGUUAAAAUUUUUAUCUUUUUUUUUUUUUUUUUUAAGCGCUAAGUUCUAAUGGGAGGGGCGAUGUCAGUUUUAGCGUUUAUGACGUUGAAUGUUUAGAACGGUGGUCCCAGCUGUCAGAAGCGCGAGAUGGAAUUAAGAUGGCUACUCAAGCGUUAGGUGAAGUUUAAAUAAGACAACGAAAACCUGGGGGAAAUAAUCACCAAUGGUCUCCCACUGCUAUCAAAAGAAAGAAAAAAAAAAAGACCGAGAGCAGGUAUCUUUUUUUGCUUUGUUUGCAUUGCUAUUUUCAUCACAGAUCUUGGAGCAUAGUAAAUGCUCAAUAAGUCAUUGUUCAACAAAUGAAAAUUCAGCUCCCCCAAUUUAGUUUCAAAUGUCAAAUUUUACGUAAUUGGAUGCUUAAACCCUCUCUCCAUGGAUUCUUUCUUCAAAAAACUUUCAAAUGAAGAAAGAAAAAACCCUCCUCACCCAUAAAGUUCGAGAUAAAAAUCUUGACCCACCCCCACCCCAGCACGGGGGUAGGGUGGGGGGCAGGUUAACUCUCAUACUAGAGCAAAUGCUCCUAUACCAAACUAUUGAGGAAUAGAUGUCAGGAAACUCUGGAAAAAAUAAAAAAUCUUCAUUUUUAUCUUACUUGAAGGUAUUCUUUCACCAGUCUCACAUCCAGAAUCCUGAAAGACCUACUUAAAUUGCUUUUCCUUCACUCUUCAUAUCCUAUUCAUUUGCAAAUCUUACCAGUUUUUAAAAAAUUUACCCAACAUUUCAAUUCACUGCUACUGCCCUCAUCCAAGCAAGCCACCAUCAUCUUCCACUUGGAUGUGAUUACCUCCUAGUGGAUCUUCCUGCCUCCUCUUUAGCUACAAUUUUAUAUAUAGCAGCAAGAGUUAUGUUUUAAAAUUGUUAGAUAGCAUUAUUCUCCUGCAUAAAAAUCUAUUGCACUUAAAAAUUAAUAAUAUCUCCUGAGGCCUCGUGGAACCUAACUCUUGCAUACCUCCCUGAUUUCUGGUUCAUUCAGUCAAUUACAUACUAAGCUCAAGAUGUAGCCAAGUGGGCAUUUAUUUCACAAAACAAGGAAAGAUUCUUUAUUUUUGCACUAGAUUUUCUGUUAUCUCAGUCCCAAUAUAACAACUGCUAUUCUUCAACUUUCAGCUCAGAUGCCACCUCCUCGGUGAGGUUUUUCCUGACAUUUACAUCAACACCCCACCCCUCCAAUGAACACACUCUCAUAUAACCCUGUUUUACUUUUCAUAAAACCAAACACUUCCUGAAUUUAUUGCUUGUUGUAUUGCUUUGUUUUUUAUCUGAGAAGCUGUAUCGAAUAUCACAAAGGCAUGGAGAGUAAAGAUCUAGUCUAGGUUCUAAAUUCUAGUUCUGCCCUUUCCUAGUUUUGUAACCUUAGGCAAGUCAUUUUCCCUUUCUGUGCCCUCAAUUUCCUCAUGCAAAAAUGGGGAUAAUUCUAGUUCCUACCUCAUAAUGUUACUGAAAGGAUUAAGUAAAUUAAUACUUGUAAAGUGCUUAGAACUGUCUCAGCAAACAGUACUUGCUAAAUAAAUGUUAGCUAUUAUUAUUAUUAAUAUUAUUUUUUUAUUAUUAUUGUCUAUUUUCCUAUAUUAGAACAUAAGUUCCAGGAAAUCAGGAACCUUGUCUCUCUUGUUCACUGGUGUAUCCUCUGCAUAUAGAACAGUGCCUGGCACAUAAUAGGUGCUGAGUAAGUAUUUGUUGAAUGAAUGAAUGAAUGAAUCAUGUACUAUGAAAUAGGGGAAUGAAGUAACAAUGACAAGAUGGUGACACAGUUUUAGAAAAUACCCACACUUUUUAUAUUCUAACUGCCUUUAUCAACCCUGAGUGAGUAACCCCAAUCCAUUUAACUCAUAGCCUACUACCCAUUCUUUUAACUGCUAACUUUAAUUUAAUAAGCAUGCCAUGAUUUCAUUAAUACCAAUGUACAUUAUAAUCAAUCCAUUCACAAAAUUAAAAGAUUCUAACUAAAAUGGUCUAAAAGUAUUAAUAAGAAAAAUACUAAAAAAAUUUAUACAUAAAUGAUCUGAAAAUACUUGUCAGAAAAUUGAACUAUAAAACUUUGACAUAAGCAGUUUUGAAAAUAUUAAGAAAAAGAAACUAAAAGUUGGAAAUUUCAGUAAAAGCUUAAAAUUUACCCUAUCUGCUAAGUUAACCAGAAAAAAUCAUAUAACCUCUCUAUAAUUCUUAAUUUAAACCUGUUAUCACAGAAAUCUAGUUGGGUCCUUAAUUCUGCCUAACAAUCUUCCUCUAUUUUUCUAAUUGUUUAUUUUUCUACUCAAUAACAUUUCCCACAUUUCCCUCUUUCUUUAAGUCUACGUGCCUCUUCCAUUUCCUUUCCUUUCUCAUCUUCUUUCUUGAGAGUGGAAGAUCUUUUGAUUUAUCUGGUAAAAUAGAAACUCUUAAACAAGGACUCCUUAUCUUACCUUUGGGCAUAUCUAUCAAGUUGCCUUUGGCUAUGCCCAUAUCCUCAGCUUUCCAUGUGUAACUAGAAAGGAGGUGACCUCAAACCCCCUUGUGCUUUGGAUCCUAAUCCUCUGGACUUCUUAAUGACUGCUUUAUUUCUUGUUUCUCAUAAUCUACAAAGCCAUCCUUUUCAAAUCAUACUUAAUAGCUUUUGGACAUAGUAUGGUAUAUCUUAACUGUAAAAAUUCUCCAGAUCUGACAGAGAUAGUGUUUUAUAGUGUAAAAAGGGUGUUGUAUUUAAUAACUGUGAUUGCAAAACUGGCUAUUCUUAAGGCAGGAAGUAAUGGACGAAUUCUAGCUUCAAAGCUAAUACAAAAACAAUACCCCAAAGGGGAAAAAAGACCAUAAUAAUCUAAAAAGAAAAUUUUAAGAAAUUAUAGUACCUAGUGCUUGAAAAGACAUUUUAAUCAAGGUAGACCCUCUAAGAGCUUUAAAAUAUAUGAUUUUUAAAAAGUCAUGUAUAUGAUAAAAAUUAGUUUUAUAGCCAAUAUGCCAAAUACAAAGUCAAUUGCUAACUACUAGAUUAGCAGAUAAAUUUCAUGUCUAUAACAGAAAGGGUUGCUACGACUACUGUUAGAAUACUAAUAUAAUAUGUACACUAAUAUACAUAAUAUAAAAAUACAAACAACCCAGUUAAAAUUAACAAAGAUAUAAACAGGCUCUUCAGGAAGAAUAAUUCCAAAUCAACAAUAGACAAUAAACAUGAAAGACACUGAAUCUCCCAAUGAGGAAAAUGAACAUAACUAACAACAAAGUAUCACAUUGCAGCAUUAAUUAGCAACAGUUAAGCAAAUUUAAUAGAAUUGGAUAUGAUUGAAAGAAAAGGAUAUUAAGUCAGACAGUGGGGAGGUAUUGUUACCUUCAUAGUUAAAUUCAAAAGUGCCCCAGGCCCCCCCCCCCCAGGUGUUCUUUAGUCAUUUUGACUCUUUGACUCAUCAUAUUAAUUUGCCUUUCUAGACUAUGAUACUUGAACUCACACAGCUGCUUCUGCUUUGAGGCCCUCAAACUAGCUAUUUUCUCUGCCAAGAUAGUCUUCCUUCUCCUGUUGGUCUUUGCUCAAAUUAAACCAACCAACCCUGAUAUUUUGUUUAAAAUGACAACUGUACUUCCCUUCUGUCUCCUAAAAUCCUGUAUACUGUGUAUCUCCCUUACUCUGCUCUUCUUUUUCUACGCAGCAUGAACUUUCUUCCAUGAUCCUAUUUAAUUUAGUUAUGUUACAUUUGUUUCUUUCUCCACCUUUUCCAUUCUGAAUAUAAUUUCUACAAGGGCAAGGAUCUUUGUUUUGCUCAGUGAUAAAGUCCACGCAUCUAAACCAAUGCCUGACACCAAUAGUUGCCCAGUAAUAAUUUUCCACAUAAGAAGAUAAAUGAGUGAAUGGAUGGAUGGAUGAUUGAACAAGUUUUAACAGGAAAAAAUCAUGUUCUUAUGUAAAAAGUUACUGUCUUAAUCUUUUUAUAUUUUAAAGGAGAAAAAAGUAACUUACAUUCCACUAGUCUGAAAUCCUGAUUUGAAAUGAAGAUAUGACAAGACCCAGAGAAAUGAUUUCCAUUCAGGAGAGAAUCUCUAAGUGAAAAUUCAUGUGCUGAUCAGGCUCAAUAUAUACCAUCAAAAUUCUAAUUAAGUCAUUCCCUACCCCAAGUCCAAUCAAGGCUGAUUAAUUCUCUCUCCAUUUCUACCAAUUGAAUCACUUCCUCCCAAUUCUAGUAAAUCCUUUCAUAUACAAAGUUGAAAUUUGUGCUUAAAAAUGUUGGAUGUUUUUGAUAAGAAACAGAAAACCCAAUGGGCAUGAGUCAAAAUUGCAUUAAUGAAUAAUAUAAAUAAUGGAAUCUGCUUUGAAAUUUAAACCUAAUUCUAUACGAAAAGUUAGUGCUUUAAUUUGUUUUGAUAAGUAAGGAGGUUUUUAAAAAGUGGCUUGCCUUCUAUCCCCAAAUUCUGAUUUUAAAUGAAGACACUUAGGUUCAGAGGGGUGGUUUCCUGGAUAUAACCUCAGUGUGAAAUUUUCUUUGCUGAUAGUCCAGUUAGAUUACUGGAUAAUAUUAUAAUCUAACUACUACUUGUCUAAUUACAUGGUUAUUUUAUACUAAUUAGCAAGCCAGACAAUUAUUACUAAGACAAUUAAGAAUAAAACUUACUAAAAAUAGUUAAAAUAUCUAAACUAUAGAAAAUAAAAGAAUAGAAAAAUACAUGCCAGGCAAUAUAAACAAUAACAAGAAGACUUUAUGGAGUGAUAUUAAUUAUUAAAUUAUUCUUUUUAUUAAGUAACAUUAAUAGGGACAAAGAUGUGCAUCUUAUUAUAUUACAAAGAAAAAUCCACUAGGAAAUAAUGUAAUCAUGAACAUGUAUGCAACUAACCACAUAGCUGGAAAAGUGUGAAGCAAAAAGAAUUUCAAGGAAAAGCUGACAAAUCUGCAAUCAUGGUGGAAAUCUUUUUAUAACAUAAAUUGUUCUCAUCUUGGUAGAUCAUGCAGACUAACAAUAUUGAUCUAAUAUAUAUGUUAUAUGUGUGUGAAUAUAUGUGUAAUAUAUGUGUAUGCUUAUUGUAUUUAUAUAUGUAUAUAAAAUCUUAUAACAAAAACAGAAUACACAUUAUUUUCAAUAAACAUUGAAUAUUUUUUCCAAAUUAAUUAAGUAUAAAGCCCCAAAAUCAAUUUCAAUAAAUGCCUGUGUGUGCAUUUCUAAAUUGUGUUAGUCUUGCCAAUUUUUGAACUUUAUAAAUAUUUCAAAUGUUUAUAUAAAUUAAUUAUAUGUACUCUUUAGUGUUUUGCUUUUUUUCUCCCACUUAAUGUGUGUUGUAUGUAGCUGUGGUGUAUUAUAUAGAAUUUGAUUGUGUGAAAAUACAUAAUAUAAUUUAUUCAGUUAUGUUUGCAUAAAUUAUUCAGUUAUGUUUGAUUGAAAAGUCAUACUGAUAUUUUCAGAUUAUCUUUUCUAAAUAUUUCUUAGGACUUUCUUAAGUCUGCUAGAAAUUCAUUUUUGCACAAGGUAUGAUGGAAGGGUCUUGACACAUGGUCAAACAAGUCUUCUUGUUUCUUUUUAUGAGUAUCUUUGCUAUGCUUGGCCUUUUUGACUUUACUAUAAAAUUUAGGAGCCAAUUGUCGAGUUUAAAAAAAUACUUUAAUUAAAUAACAUCAAUUCUGUGGAUUUAAGAAAAAUUGACAUUUUUACAAUAUCAAGUCUUCAAAUGCAUUAACAGGCUGUAUCUUUCCCAUAAUUUAGGUCAUCUUUAAAUACUCUAAAGUAUACUUCUCUAAGUAUAUUUAUAUUAUUGUCUUAAUAGAAAUCUUGCAAAUCUUUUGUUUGUUAGCCUCAGGUGCUACUUAAUAUUUAAUGCUAUUGUAAAUGGCAUCUUUCUUAGAUUUUGAUUACCGUGGCUGGAGUAUACAGAGAAAAUUGCUCUUUAUAUACAACUAUUUUAAAUGCAAGUAGUUUACUCAGAUCUUUUGCAUUUUUCACAUAUCCAAUCAUAUCAUCUGCCAAUAAUGACAACUAUGUUUCUUCCUUUACAGUCUCUUUCUCUUUUCCUUGUCAUAUGUUGGUUAGGACUUCCAGGACAAUGUUGAAUAAAAAUGCUGAGUACAGGUAUCCUUGUCUUUUUCUUGAUUUUCGAGGGAAAACUUUCAACUUUUUUCUGUUAACUAUGAUUUUGCAGAAGUUUAGAGGUAGAUACAUUUUAUGCUACUAAAAUUUUUCUUACUAUUUUUAGUUUGAUGAAAAGUGAUUUUUAAAAAUUUUAUAUAUAUAUAUAUAUAUAUAUAUAUAUAUAUAUAUAUAUAUAUUUGUAUGAUGGUAGAGUGUAUUUUGACAUAUUAUACAUACAUGGAGUGUAACUUAUUCUAAUUAGGAUCCCAUUAUCAAACACUUACUGCAUCUGAGAUUAAGUUUCACCUCAUCUUUCAUUACUGAAAUAGACUUAUAUGGAUCAUGAUAUAUAUAUUUCUGGAAUCAGUAUGCUCAGAUUUUAAGAUUUUUGAAUCUAUGGAUUGGCUUAUUUAUUUUCCUUUCUCAUAGUGUUGAAGAUUUGUUUCAGAAAAUUUAUGCCAUAAUAUGAAUCAGAAGAGUUUUUCUUUUUCUGUUCUCCAGGAAAAUAUAUCAAUGAUUGGUAUUACAUUUUCCUUUGGAUGUUUGGUAAAAUUUGCUGGGAUAGUUCCUUGAGCCUGGAUUUCUUUCUGGAAGGAGUUGAACUACUGUGUCAGUUUCUUCCGUGAUUAUGGAUAUAUCUAAUGUUCUAAUUCUUCUCGUGUCAAUUUUGCUGUUUUAUUUUCCUAAUAAUUAAUUAAUUUCACUUAAAUUUAAAAAUUUACUGGCAUAAAGUCUAUAUUAUUUUUCUUUGUCUCUUUAUUUUUUAAAUGUCUGCAAUAGGUAGAGACUUCUUUAUAAUAUUUCUUUCCUAAUAUUAUUAAUAUCUUAUAUUUUUAUUCUCCACUAUUUUCAGCAAAGAGUUUUUAAUUUUUCUAGACAAUUUUUUAAAAAUUUUGUUCAUUCUCUUAUAUUGACUUUGUAUUUUAUCAACUUCUGGUCUUAUUUUUAUUUCUCUCUCUCUUUCUCUUUCUCUCUCUUUCUCUCUCUUGAUAGUACAGGGGAUUGAACUCAGAAGCCCUCUACAUCUGAGCUACACCCCCAGACAUUUUUAAUUUUGUUAUUUUGAGACAGGGUCUCACUAAAUUGUUGAGGUUGGCUUCCAACUUGCUCAUCCAUCUGCUUCAGCCUCCUGAGUUGAUGGGUUUACAUGCAUACUAUCUCCUAGUUUUUUUUUUUUUUUUUGCUAUUUUUGUUCUCUUGAUUUCCUCAGGUAGAUAGAUAUUUAGUUCAUUUAAUUUUUCUAGAUUUCUUCCUUAAGGCUUUAAAUCUUUAUUUGAAUACUAUUUACCAACAUCUCAUAGUGUUUGAAAUGUAGUAUAUUCAUUCUCAUUUAGAUCAAAGUAUUCCAAAUUUUCAUUGUUUUGUUUUAUUCUCAUUAAAGGUUUAUUUAGACAUGUAUUUUAAUUUUAAAUAAAAUUAGGAAUUUUCUUUUGGUUAUUAAUUUCUAACUUUAUUGUUUUAUGGUCAGAGAACAUGUCCUGUGUGCUUUUAGCCCUUUGACAUUUGUAAAAACUUGGUUUAUAGACACAAAUUUAUGGCAAACUUUGUAAAGCUUUUAUAGUACUUGAAAAAUGUUCUGAAGUUUGGGAGUCCAGAGUUUUAUGUGUCUAUUGCUUUUAAACUGCUUUUUGUAUGAGUAGCAUUGCAGUUUAUGCCUGUCAACUCUGGUUUCCUUUACUUUCAAAGGUAUGUAAGAUUUGGUGAUAAAUGAUAGGAUGUAAGCUGAUGUUAAAGUUUAGAACCACUUACUAAAAUCUAAAAAGAGUGUAGAAUUUUUACUCAGUCAAUAUUCAACAUUUUUCUAAAGAUCACAUUUAGUUAUUUAAGGCCCCCCUUCCUGCCCAGCUCCAAAGUAAAAAAAUAAGAAAUAUGAAUAAUGGAAAAAUAAGAGAUUAUCCCCCCUAAAUAUGAUAAUUUAUAUGGAAAAAAUCUAGAAUCUAUGGUAAAACUAGUAAAACUAAUAGAAGAUAGUAAAUAUAAGGUUUAAAAAAGGAAUGUAAGAUCAAUACAUAAUGAGAAAAUGAAUAGAAAAACUUUUAAUUUUAUGUGAAUCAAUGGAUGUGUAACUGAUGUGAUUCUGCAAUCUGUAUAUGGGGAAAAAAAUGGGAGUUCAUAACCCACUUGAAUCAAAGUGUGAAAUAUGAUAUAUCAAGAACUAUGUAAUGUUUUGAACAACCAACAAUAAAAAAUUUAAAA